rnacentral:tRNA from 1 species
GCGGUUUGAGUGUAGAGACACGCUAGCUCUUCAAGCUAGAAUGGCUAGUAGCAGUCCGUG